rnacentral:pre_miRNA from 1 species
AGUGGGAUAGCUGGGUCAUAUCAUGGUUCCAUUCCAAGUUUUCUAAGGAAUCUCCAUAUUGCUUUCCAGAUUGAUUGCACCAAUCUGCAGUCCUACCAGCAAU